rnacentral:rRNA from 1 species
GAUGAACGCUGGCGGCGUGCCUAAUACAUGCAAGUCGAGCGAACGGACGAGAAGCUUGCUUCUCUGAUGUUAGCGGCGGACGGGUGAGUAACACGUGGAUAACCUACCUAUAAGACUGGGAUAACUUCGGGAAACCGGAGCUAAUACCGGAUAAUAUUUUGAACCGCAUGGUUCAAAAGUGAAAGACGGUCUUGCUGUCACUUAUAGAUGGAUCCGCGCUGCAUUAGCUAGUUGGUAAGGUAACGGCUUACCAAGGCAACGAUGCAUAGCCGACCUGAGAGGGUGAUCGUCCACACUGGAACUGAGACACGGUCCAGACUCCUACGGGAGGCAGCAGUAGGGAAUCUUCCGCAAUGGGCGGAAGCCUGACGGAGCAACGCCGCGUGAGUGAUGAAGGUCUUCGGAUCGUAAAACUCUGUUAUUAGGGAAGAACAUAUGUGUAAGUAACUGUGCACAUCUUGACGGUACCUAAUCAGAAAGCCACGGCUAACUACGUG